ensembl:lncRNA
UGUCCUCAUGCCAUAAGCAUGGAUGCGUAAUUGACCGCAUUUUAUCUGUACAUUUUAUCACAUAAACACUGUUUGUCAUUUAAUGGGAAAAUGCAGCCACUGUAAGCAUAGAAACCUUGUAACAAAAAAAAAGAGAGAGAGAAAGAAAGAGAUGGUUGCCUGAGAUGGGUUGGAUGGCGUAUGUUUGUUUUUCAGUGCUAAGAAUUUUUUUUUGUUAAAUGCUAAAAAGAAAAUCAAGUUAACAUUUUUAAGACUUACAAUGCAUAAAUCAUGUCACAAUCAUGCAACUAACCUUAUGGCAUUGUGUUGUAUCAUAAGGUUUAUACCUUAUAGCUUACAACCAAGGCAUUUUCCUGUUUUGCUAUGAAAUAACCUCCACUGGAGAUCUUAAGAUUAAAAACUUAUUUUGCUUUGGGCCAAGUUAUUUACACACCCCAACAGUAUAAGGCCAAACGUUUGUGUACACCUGACCAUCACACCCAUAUGUGUUUUUUCUCCAAACUUUUGCCACAAAGCCGGAAGCACACAAUUGUAUAGAAUGUCUUUGUAUGCUGUAGAAUUAAAAUUUCCCUUCACUGGAACUUAGAGGCCCAAACCUGUUCCAGCCUGACAACGCCCCUGUGCACAAAGCUCUCAAUGAAGACAUUGUUUGGAAAAGGUUUGAGUGGAAGAACUCGAGUGUCCUGAACAGAGACCUGACCUCAACCCCACUGAACACCUUAAGGAUGAACUGGAACACUGAUUGCACCCCAGACCUCCUCAUCCAACAUCAGUGCCUGAUCUCACUAAUGCUCUUCUGAUUGAAUAAUCACAAAUGCCCACAGCCAUGCUCCAAAAUCCAGUGGAAAGCCUUCCCAGAAGAGUGAAGCUUAUUAUAGCAGCAAAGGAGGAUUAAAUCAUGAAUGGGAUGUACAACAAGUACAUAUGGAUGUGAUUGGCAGGUGUUCACAAACUUUUGGCCAUAUAGUGUACGUUACAGGACACUGAGUCAUUUCAGUCAGCUGGCCUUUCUCCCUACCAUGUUCAUAUUUAUCUUGGCAACCUGCUUAUAAUUUACAGGUGUGUUUUUAAUUUGGAAUCACUGUCCCAUUUAAUGACUGUCUCGGGUUAAAUCAGCUGUCUCUAGAAGUCACCAUUCAUGCAUCUCAUUGUGUUUUUCUGCAUAGUUGCUGCAAACAGCAAAAUUGCUCAAGCUUUUGACCCCUCUCAUUUCAUAAUCAUCACAGAUGUUGUUCUGACUCCUUAUCAGUUAUUGAGGUUUUGUUCCAGCUGGCACUACAUUUGGUCAAUGAUUUCAUCCCGAAGUGCAAUCAAAGAACAAAAUCCCAUGCCAAUAUUAUAUUACAAUGAUAAAUGACCUAUGUUUAAUGCUAUAGCAAACAAAUGCUUUUGCACAAUGAUGAAGAGCCCAGGGCUAUGUGCAAAGUCCUGAGUCAUUUUUCAAAUAUGACCAACAUUGGUUUUUAACUUGCGCUCAUUUCAGUGACUUCAAUUCAGAAACAUGGCAAGAUAAUAAUAUUGCACCAUUUCAUCUUUUGACGUAAAUAUUACUUGUGAAAAAAAAAAAGAUGAUGCCCUUUUUAUGAAUUAAGACUUUUAUAUUGCUCUCAUGUGUAUUUUUGUGUGUAAUGUGCAUUGUGUUUUUGGGGGUGAUUACUUAUUUCUAAUCUAUGCAGUUGAAUGUUUUCCAUUCAUAUUCAAGUCAGAGAGUUUAAAACUGAAAUAUCAAUGUGAUCCAUCAGGCCACUGCUAGGCAGUGAUACUUCAGCUGCAUGCUCACUGCUGUAAGUGAUGAGGUCAACAUAGAGAAGAUGGUAACCAGAGGAUGAGCAGAAGUUUCGUGAGGAGGACGUGGUUUAGAUAUGUGUGGGGACCAAAAACUCCAAUGAUCAUAAUAAAAUGUUGUUAUUUUAAUACUGUGGGAACAUUUGGCUGAUGUCGGUUAAAACCACAAUGAUCAUAGUAACACGCUGUUAUUUUGAUACUGUGGGGAUAUUUGGCUGAUGUCAGUUAAAGCCGGGUGAACACUGUGAGAUCUUUAAUAGUCCUUUGCGACUGUUGCUUGUCAGACUGUACGAUCUUGAUCCUCGCUGUAAGCCAUGUCACACUGUAGGAUCUCAGCUGUCAUUAAUGUCAGACUGUGUGACCAGUCAAGACGUGAAAAACGGACACACGCAAGAAAACUAAUACGGAGUAGGACAAGCCACACUACAGGACUGUGCCUCAAAUCUUCUGACACUGCCAGAAUUUAAUCGGAGGAAAAAUUUGAUGGGGUACGUGUCAAACUAGCGAUCAAAGACUACAGAUUUUGGCCUAGGAUUAUAGGAAUCUUUUAGGAUUCUCAAAAUUUGUCUCAGACGACCAAGUCAUGACUAAAAUCGUACAGUGUGAACCGGGCUUAAAAUAAUGGCUUAAAAAGUGGUGAAAGAUUUGAGUAUUGAGACGACUUUUAAUUUUUACUUGCCAACUAGUAAUCAAAACUGUUAAAUCAAAACUGAUUCGGAAAAUCAAUAUUUUCGAGUAUUUAUAAGGCAGGUAAGUGCUGAUAACCUGCCAAAGCACACUUUAUUAACAGCCACAUACAAGCUACAAAUUACAGCAUACAGUAUUUUCAGCUUUGAUGCUUUUUAGGCUACACUGUUAACUCCAAAAACAAAUAAAUCAGUGCUCUAAAUGUACAAAAUAAUACAACCCUGUACCAUACUAUACUAUUUAAGGAUGCACUAAUUCUUAAAAUGCACUUAUGUACCCAAUCUGGUGGUCAAGUGACAGUUGAAAAUGUUGAUUCUGGAACUGAGAGUGCACAGCAUGGAAGCUCAUGUCCGUCAACAGAGCCUUCUCUAUAGCUCUAUCAAUUGUCAACCUUCCUUGGAUGGAAGAUCCUAUGUCUACACCAGCAUCUGGGAGGUUUUUCUUGGCUGAAAAUGGCCCAGAAGUUGAACAUCACCGGAUGACAGCCUCUGUUAACUGGCAUGCAUGGCCCAUAGGCUUUAAACUAGCUGAGUGAUACUGGACAAUAAAGUGCAACCCGCUACAUGAAGUGCCCUCUUUCAAAUUUACAACAAAAAUAACACCAGGUGGCAUUAAUUCAAGGGGAAAAUCCAAUUCAUGUCUUGCACAGUGUGCUGUUGACUAGAAUUUAUUUAAUCUAUAUUAAUUUUUUUAAAACUAACAAAGCACAUUUUGCCUGCUGUCUUUACCUCAUUGGGUUUUUUUUCCACCACCCCGACUACUGAAUAUACUACUUACUGACUAGAUGGGGGACAUUUUUGUUUUCUUCCUCGUCUCGACCUAUACCUCUCAUUUGAAGGAAAAAAAAAGCUCAGUUUCAGGUCUGCUGUGAGCUGAGAAACAGACAAAUGUGGACAAACUGGGGUGUCACUAAUAAUCCGAAACUCUGAUCUUCUAGUUAUUGUCAGAAAUUCUAAUGGUUUUUAUCACUCAGAAUAGUCAAGAACUGAUGACUUUUACAGAAAGAAAUCAUUUGACUAAUAUUGCCAACCAAACCAAAGUGGUGUGUAGUAGGAGGCAAUUGUGAAAACAUUAUAAAACACUUUUUUUUUUUCUCCAAAUGAAGUGAUUAUAUCUUGCUUAGUAAAGGUUAUAGGGUGUUUCUUUCCCACAUUAGACUGAUAAAAAUCUUUGCAUGCAAAUGUGAACCAUGCUCCACCAGCGUUCACACAUUUAAGCAUUUAUUUUGUUUUGGACCAGGUUGUAUACACAACCCUGCAAUUGUUGUUGGAGUGUCUGUCUUUUAGCUAUUUUUUGGAAUAAUGCUCAGUUAUUAUUUUAACAAUAUACUGAAAUUAUUAUUUCCAUUCCUUAUGAUGUUUAGAAGUGAAUUAAAAUUAUUUCCACUCGGAUGGUAUUCGUUAGUAUAGUAAGCCAGAUUUUGUUCUAUUGUGACUGGUGUGCAGUGUAUUGAUCUGACACAGCUUUUUAUUCAAAUGCAUUCGAUGCAUUACAGGGAACUUGACAUAAACCAUUAGGCGUAGUUAAAGAUUUAUUUAGUAUGUGUAGUAAUACAUAAGCCAGUAGAAACUCCCCACGAAGAUAGUAAUACAGCUGUGUGUGUGUGUGUGUGUGUGUGUGUGUGUGUGUGUGUGUGUGUGUGUGUGUGUGUGUGUGUGUGUGUGUGUGUGUGUGUGUGUGUGUGUGUGUGUGUGUGUGUGUGUGUGUGUGUGUGAAUCCAUAAAGGAGAGUGUUGUGGAGUGUGUAAUUUGUAUUAAAACAUAUGCAGUCUCAAAGGAUAUCCCAUUUGUUGUUCUAUUCCCCAAACAGAUGCCAUAAUUGAAUAUUUUGUCUAAGUGCUUUUGACUUUGGCUCUUCAGCAAGUUUGUAGUAACUCCCGAGAACUGUGUGUUCUUUGUCUAUUAGUAUAAUGUUUUGAAUCUCAUUUAGUACUUUGUAGUGAGGGCAUAAAUUAAUGCAGAGGGUGUGAAGGUCAUGGCCUUUCUUCAUUAACCCUUUAGCCCCAUACUGACAGCCCCAGAGUUCAAUUCUGCUCUCUCGUACAGACUUCCAGACUUCUCCUAUUAGAUUCACUGUUCCUAAAUAAUUCAUAGUAGUUACUGAAUAAUGUAAAAUAAAAAUUAAUAAAGGGGUUGCACAGCUCCGGGGUUGGGGGUUUGAAUCCCGCCUCCACCCUGUGUGCACGGAGUUUGCAUGCUCUCCCCAUGGUACUCUGGGUACUCUGGUUUCCUCCCCUAGUCCAAGGAUAUGCAUUGCUGAUUGUGCGAUUGUGCCCUCUGAUGGGUUGGCACUCCAUCCCGGGUGUCCCCUGACUUGUGCCCUGAGUCCCCUGGGAUAGACUCUAGGAUCACUGUUACUGUGUGUAGGAUAAACGGUACAGAAAAUAGAUAGAUGGAUGGAAAAAAUAAAUAAAUAAAUAAAAUUGGGCAUGCUUUAAUUUAAAGUGCAUUAAAUCUACAGUCUUAAAAAUAAACAUGGCUCCCAAGUAGUGCAACAGAAAAGCAUUAGUGUAAUUGUCUGGAGCUUGCGAUCUCGAAUCCAGCUAUCUGUGACUGGGAGCUGAGCACAAGAGAGCAGACAUGUUCACAAGUCCCUGAGGUCCAAGCCCAAGUCAGGUCUCAAAUCUUUGUUCUGUUUUUAGAAAUAGUUCUUUCAGCUAGUAAUUAACAGUGUAUGAGGCUAAAUCAAUUUUGAAAUAUUAAAACUGAUUACGUCUACAGAAUGUCUUGUUCAUUUAUUCAAAAUUGUCUAAUAAGCACACAAGGUUUUACUUAGAUCAUUCAUUCAAAAUUAUACCAUUAAUCAAAAAACUAUUACUUUCAAAUGAUUACAUUUGAUUUAAAAGUUAUCCCUAUAAUUACAAGAAAACAGAACAUUCAUAGAAAAUUCAGGAAAGAUAUUACUGCCAACGUGCUGUGUGUUUUGAGCUAUUUGAGUUGCCGUAGUUUGCUGUAGUUCUCAAGCAAUGGUGGGUAAGGUAGUCUUCCAGUGAGUGCCGGCGGUAACAAAACCCAAGUUUGUAGAUGUAAUAAAACUUGGUAAACUUGGAUAUUAUAUGCAUACGAUAGCUAAUACUUGUGUGUGUGGGGUGG